rnacentral:rRNA from 1 species
GAUGAACGCUGGCGGCGUGCCUAAUACAUGCAAGUCGAGCGAACAGAUAAGGAGCUUGCUCCUUUGACGUUAGCGGCGGACGGGUGAGUAACACGUGGGUAACCUACCUAUAAGACUGGAAUAACUCCGGGAAACCGGGGCUAAUGCCGGAUAACAUUUAGAACCGCAUGGUUCUAAAGUGAAAGAUGGUUUUGCUAUCACUUAUAGUUGGACCCGCGCCGUAUUAGCUAGUUGGUAAGGUAACGGCUUACCAAGGCAACGAUACGUAGCCGACCUGAGAGGGUGAUCGGCCACACUGGAACUGAGACACGGUCCAGACUCCUACGGGAGGCAGCAGUAGGGAAUCUUCCGCAAUGGGCGAAAGCCUGACGGAGCAACGCCGCGUGAGUGAUGAAGGUCUUCGGAUCGUAAAACUCUGUUAUUAGGGAAGAACAAAUGUGUAAGUAACGGUGCACGUCUUGACGGUACCUAAUCAGAAAGCCACGGCUAACUACGU